ACAACCGCACACUCUUAACCACACACUUAACUUCACACUCUUAACCGUACAUGUAACACCGUAAAAUUUCAAACAAAUUUUCACAUUUUAAAAACAAUUUAUUCCAGAAUAUUAUAAAACUCAUUAUUUCAUGUAUCCAAACAUAAGUCAAAAUCCCAAGAUCAUAACAUAUAUAAAACUCCGCGUGUGUGUGUACCGAUCAUGCCGGCGCCUUCCCACGAUCCUCACUAGUACCUAAAACACAUAACACAAAACACUGUAAGCACGAAGCUUAGUGAGUUCCCCAAAAUACCACACAUAACACAUAUUAGCCACUCGAGGCUAUAACUCUGUGGGUCCGUGGACCCUNUGGGCCCUUGGGCCCUAACUCUGUGGACCCUCUAGUCCUAGCUCUGUGGACCUUCCGCUCCUAACUCUGAUAUACACACAACAUAAAUCACAUAGAAAUAAUGCAGUGCCACACAUCACAUAGAUAGCAUACAAUAACUCUGUCACAUAACUCUAGUUAUCACUCAAGGUAAAGUAUAGAGAGAAGACUCACCUCAGAUAUCUCGGAUAAUAUCUCGCUCGCGUAUAUACUGAUCUAGUCGUUGCCUAAAACAUAAACAACUGUCUCAAUUAAUAACAGCUCUCCAGGCUAGACUAGACUCUCACAUGUCCUCUAAGAAGGCUAAAAGACCAUUUUACCCUUCAAACAGUCCACUAGUCCAAUUGUUGACCAAACCCUAAAAGUCAACAAAAGUCAACGGUCAAACUUUGACCAGACUCGUCGAGUGCACGAAUGUGACUCGGCGAGUCUAUACGUGUCCUUCAUAAUCCUGACACUUACUUGACUCACUGAGUCAACCCUCCACUCUUCAAAUCGUCCCUGAUCGUGAAUCGCGGGACAACCCGUCCUAACUCGUCGAGUCCGGCUCUUGACUCGGCGAGUUCAGUCGUGAACUCAAGUCCUCUAAAUCCCCUCUGACUCAACGAGUCAUUCCCUCAACUCGGCGAGUCAUCAACGUUGUGAUCCACAGGGAAAACCCGCUCCUACUCGUCGAGUCUGUUCCUGGACUCGACAAGUUCAUGCCAUGCUAGACUCAAAAGACCUCCUGAGGUCAGAUCUGUUCCUCUAAUCCUUAGAUCUAACCUUCCCAAGCUCAAUAAUCACGUAAAGUCUCUAUCUUGAUGCACAUGCAACAUCUAUAUGACCAUAUAUGAUGAUUUAGCCCCAAAUACCUCAACCCAAGGUCCUAACCUCCAUUGUUCUUUAUAAAGCUUGAUGAGUAAGGCUCCCUGGACCUCUAUGGAUCUAGAUCCAAAGCCUCAUCACCAUAAAGGACUAUUUGGACAUCAAUUCAACCCAACAAAGGGCAUAUGAAACCCUAAAUCCAUAUAUACUUCAUAAAUCAGAAGAUGAAUCGAAAUGGUACCUCAAAUGUGAUGAUCUUAGCUUCAAAUCCACAGAAUAGCAACCUUCUUUGCUUCCUCUUGGCUAGGACCUCCUUCUUCUUGCUAAACAACACCACAAAGGUCAAGAAUGGCUUCCUUUCUCUGUCAAAACGUUCAAGCACUCUAGGGUUUCUCUCUAUGAACUGGUAGCCGCAAAUGAAGGCCAUAAGGGCCUUUAAAUAGGUCCCAAACCCGAGAAAUUAGGUUUUCUUUCAUCAGCUUUGACUCGGCGAGUCUCUCCCCUGACUCGUCGAGUCCCCUCAUUAACCACGUCAUCCAGUCGCGACCAGACUCGACGAGUCUAAGCACCAACUCGUCGAGUCACCUUACAUAAUUAAAGAAAUACAACAUAAAUUAAUAUACCUGGAAACAGGAUGUUACAGUAGACCCCAACUAAAAUCAGACUUCGUCCUCGAAGUCUCACUCAGCAAAUAACUUUGGAUACUGCUCACGCAUCUCUAACUCCGGCUCCCAAGUCGGCUUGAACCCCUUCCGAUGUUGCCACUGGACCUGAACUAAUGACACCUCCUUGUUCCGCAAAAUCUUGAUCCUCCUAUCCCAAAUCGCGAUCGGCCUCUCAACAUAGUUAAGGCUCGCAUCCACCUGAAUAUCCUCUAAUGGCACCACUGCCGACUCAUCGGCCAUACACUUCCUCAGCUGCGAUACGUGGAAGGUGUCAUGAAUCUGACCCAACUCGGCAGGNNNNNNNNNNNNNNNNNNNNNNNNNNNNNNNNNNNNNNNNNNNNNNNNNNNNNNNNNNNNNNNNNNNNNNNNNNNNNNNNNNNNNNNNNNNNNNNNNNNNNNNNNNNNNNNNNNNNNNNNNNNNNNNNNNNNNNNNNNNNNNNNNNNNNNCUCUUCUGACGGCUCUGGGCCGUCAGCAACCUCUGUCUGACUUGCUGAAUCUGCUCGGUCGUCUGAAGCACUAUCUCCGUGCUGCCCAUCACAUGCUGCCCGACCUCACCCCAUCAAAUGGGAGUCUGACACUUCCUCCCAUACAACAGCUCAAAGGGUGGCAUACCGAUGCACGAAUGAUGGCUGUUGUUAUAAGAAAACUCAGCCAGGGGUAAAUACGUGUCCCAACUCCCUCCGAAAUCUAAUACACAUGACCGAAGCAUGUCCUCGAGCGUCUGAAUCAUCCGCUCGCUCUGCCUGUCAGUCUGUGGGUGGUAGGCGGUACUAAAAUGCAACCUCGUGCCCAGCUCCUCAUGGAAUUUCUUCUAGAAUCUGGAAGUGAAACGUACAUCUCGAUCAAAGAAAAUCGAGAUCGGUACUCCGUGCCGCGAUACCAAUCACCCAUCAAGAUGGUACACGUUUCGCCCACAAACGGUACCCAAACCCGACCCUGAAAGGUCAUAAGUCCUCGACUAUCGGUAACGAACUCCGAUACCUUCCCGAUCACUCGCUCUCUUCUGCGGUUCUCCGGUCUCCCGGCCUCCACCUGGGCCCCUCGAAUGGUGUCCCACACCAGAGUCAUCACUGUCAGUAUCAUGCAAACAUCUCUCAUCGGGGCGCCCUCCGCCCUACGGCUCAGGGCAUCGGCUACAACAUUAGCCUUGCCUGGGUGGUACAGGAUCUCGCAGUCGUAAUCCUUUACCACAUCCAACCAUCUCCUCUGGCACAUAUUCAGGUUGGGCUGAUCCAUCGGGUACUUCAAGCUCUUGUGGUCCGUUUAUAUGGUACACCGAACCCCAUACAGAUAGUGACGCCAGAUCUUGAGGGCAAACACCACUGCCCCCAACUCCAGAUCGUGGGUGGGAUACCUUGACUCAUGAGGUUUCAGCUGCCUCGAUGCAUAUGCUAUCACAUGCCCCCUCUGCAUAAGCACCGCUCCCAACCCUAAUAUCGACGCGUCGCAACACACUACGAAGUCCUCCAUCCCCUCCGGAAGGGCUAACACUGGGGCUUCGCAUAGUCUCUGGCGAAGUGUCUCGAAGGAGGCCUGUUGCUCUGGGCCCCAUGAAAAAGCAACACCCUUCCGGGUCAACUUGGUGAGUGGCACGGCGAUCUUGGAGAAAUCCCUGAUAAAUCUCCUAUAAUAGCCAGCCAACCCUAGGAAACUCCUGAUCUCGGUGGGGGAUCUCGGCACCUCCCAACUCAUCACUACCUCAAUUUUGGCCGAAUCGGCCAAUAUCCCAUUUUGGUUAACGAGGUGCCCCAUGAACUGAACCUAUCGUAACCAGAAAUCACACUUGGAGAAUUUGGCGUAAAGCCUCUCCGACCUCAUAACUCCAAGGAUCUCCCUCAAAUGCUCCUCAUGCUGCUCUCUGGAUUUCGAAUACACCAAUAUAUCGUCGAUGAACACGAUCACAGAGCGAUCCAACAUCGGUCUGCACACUCUGUUCAUGAGAUCCAUGAACGCCGCCGGUGCAUUGGUGAGCCCAAAAGGCAUCACCACGAACUCGUAAUGCCCGUAACGAGUUCUAAACGUCGUCUUUUGGAUAUCCUCAUCUCGCACCCUCAUCUGAUGAUAUCCAGACCUCAAAUCGAUCUUAGAGAACCAAGAUGCUCUCUAUAACUGAUUGAACAAAUCGUCGAUCCUCGGCAACGGGUAACGAUUCUUGACCGUCAACUUGUUCAACUCUCGGUAAUCAAUACACAUCCGGUGUGAACCAUCCUUUUUCUUGACAAAGAGGAUAGGCUCUCCCCACGGCGAGCUGCUCGGUUGAAUAAACCCCUUCCCCAGCAGCUCCUGAAGCUGCAAGGAUAACUCCUGCAUCUCAGGUGGUGCAAGGCGAUAGGGCGCCUUGGCGAUAGGUGCUACCCACGGAACCAAAUCGAUAUGAAACUCUACCUGCCUCUCAGGAGGCACGCCCGACAACUCCUCCAGGAAAAAAUUCGGGAACUCUCGCAAUAUCGGGACCUCAUCAACUGACCUCGGGCUCUCUGAAUCAACCCUCGUAUCGAUCACAUACGCCACAAACCCACUACAGCCCUGCUGUAGAAUCUGCCUCGCUCUAGCGGCUGAACAAAAUGCUGACCCAGGACGUGUACCCUCGCCGUACACCGUAAGAACUCCCCCACUAGGGUCUCGUAUGGUCACCAUCUGUCGCUCGCAGUCGAUAACUGCUCCAAAUUUGCUCAACCAGUCCAUGCCCACGAUGACACAGACAUCACCGAUUGCAAUAGGAACUAAAUCAAUCGGAAACUCAACGCUGAAAAUCUCGAGUAUACACCCUCGGAUCACCUCUAUGGCAUACACCGCCCUCUCGUCAGCUAUGGAAACUCUCAGAAGAUGACUCAACGCCUCUCGACUAAUACUGAUGUGCUGACUAAAAGCCAAAGAUACAAAAGACCGACUCGCACCUGAGUCAAAUAACACCAAGGCAGGUAUAGAACUCACAAGAAAAGUACCUACGGAAAACAUAAUAUAAACACAAUAUCUCAAACUCAAAGUAAAUACAUGAAAAGAAUACAUACCAGCCAUGACAUCGGGCGUUGCGCGGACCUCCUCCGCGGUCAACUGGAAGGCUCUCCCUCGUGCCUUCGGUGCCUCGGUCUUCAUCGGCCGACUCUCAGUAGCUCUGAUAGCAGCAGGGGCAGAUCCCUAAGGUGCUCCCUGUGCUGACCCCCGCAGCUGCGGACACUCUGUCUUCCGGUGUCCAGUCUGGUUGCAGUGGAAACAAACUGCGAACCCCUUGGGGAAAUCCUUGGCCAUAUGCCCCUCCUUACCACACUUGUAGCAAGGCCCCGCUCUGCAAACUCUAUCAUGACCCUUUCCGCACUUGCCACAAGUGCGGCCCUUCUGGUUCCUUGAUCUCGGAUCGGCGGGCUUGGCUCGCUUGGCUGCCGGUUGAGACUGUGUCGGUCGUCGAUCCCUCCCCUGAGACUCCGCUUCCUCCCUAGCCUGAGUCUCCAGCUCUAUCUCCCUCUUCCGAGCAUUUUCCUGGAGUUCGGAAAAUGUCCGAUACGACGAGUUUGCCACGAAAUCUCGUAUAUCCCUCCUCAAAAUGCUGAGAUAUCAGCUCAUACAUGCCUGCUCGGAGGACACGUGCUCUGGGCAGAACAUCGCCCGCUCAUGGAACAUCCUCGUAAUCAUUGUAACAAACUCAGUACCCUGCUUGAGGGUCAGAAACUCAUGGGCCAAACGCUCCCUCUCCACCUGGGGAAUAUAUUCAUCUCGGAACAUAGCAGUGAACCUCUCCCAGGUUACUGCAGCAAGCUCAGCAGACGAAUAGUGCGCCGUCACAAACUUCCACCAGUCCUUCGCUCCCAAGCGAAGCUGGUUCAGCGCGAACCGAACCCUCAAAUGCUCUGGACAUGAGCACGUAAAGAAACACCCCUCGAUGUCUAAAAUCCACCUCAUCGCCGUAAUAGGAUCCUGCGUCCCGUCAAACUCUGGUGGUUUUGUGUUGCUGAACUCUCGAAAUAGCAACGCAUCACCACCCUGCGGUCUAGCCGCGACNGUAGUGGCCUCAGUAACAGUAGCAUCAGAAAGAGCAGCAUAUUGCUCAUCGAAAGUCUCUAUCAGCGUGGUCUUGAUAGACCCAAACAUCUCUGGUAUCUCUGCCCUGAUGGCCGCAGCCACCUCCUCAUGAAUGAUCCUACGGAUCUCCUUAUCACUAGUACUGUUGCUGCCUGGUGUGUGGCGUGUCCCUACCAUGAUGUCUCUCGAAUACAACAUAAGAAAUAUCAGGGACUCGUUCGAGUAUACUCGCACAUGAUAACUCCACCCUACAUGUUCCUUAGUACUCCAAGGAUUUUUACUUGGACUGUGUACUGAUCCGGUGUCUUCAGUAGUACGAGCUCAAUACUACUGCCUACACCGCAUCAGCAUCCACCCCAAGUCCUCUUCCCAGAGUACCAAGUCCCAAGUACUCUACUCUCUCUAAUCAUAUGCUACUCACUAGCAGAUCUCUCAUAAGCUCCUCACUACUAUCUAAUCACUCUCAAGCAUCCCUAGCAGCAAAACUCUUGUACUAAAGCAUCACAAAUCAGGCCACUCUAGUCCUAAUAAUAAUACUUAUUCUACUAUCGCAUGCAUAAUAUAACUCAUCAUACAUCAUAGCAUAACAUAUCUCAUAACACUUAUUGUAAGGGUAUUUUGGGAAAUCACCGUUCGGGCGCUGGCUGAUCGUACACACGGCUCUGCUCUGUUUGCCUCAAAACUUCUUUUACUCUUUAAAAACUAUUUUAUUAUCAAAAAAAUCCUCAAAUUCUCAGUUUGAGUUCAGAAACGCCCGAAGGUGCAUCCGAAUCCCUCAAAGCAAGGCUCUGAUACCAACUUGUAACACCGUAAAAUUUCAAACAAAUUUUCACAUUUUAAAAACAAUUUAUUCCAGAAUAUUAUAAAACUCAUUAUUUCAUGUAUCCAAACAUAAGUCAAAAUCCCAAGAUCAUAACAUAUAUAAAACUUCGCUUGUGUGUGUACCGAUCAUGUCGGCGCCUUCCCACAAUCCUCACUAGUACCUGAAACACAUAACACAAAACACUGUAAGCACGAAGCUUAGUGAGUUCCCCAAAAUACCACAUAUAACACAAAUUAUCCACUCGAGGCUAUAAUUUUGUGGGCCCUUGGGCCCUAACUCUGUGGACCCUCUAGUCCUAGCUCUGUGGACCUUCCGCUCCUAACUCUGAUAUACACACAACAUAAAUCACAUAGAAAUAAUGCAGUGCCACACAUCACAUAGAUAGCAUACAAUAACUCUGUCACAUAACUCUAGUUAUCACUCAAGGUAAAGUAUAGAGAGAAGACUCACCUCAGAUAUCUCGG
rnacentral:lncRNA from 1 species